UCCGUAGGUGAACCUGCGGAAGGAUCAUUACCGAGUGAGGGCCCUCUGGGUCCAACCUCCCACCCGUGUCUAUCGUACCUUGUUGCUUCGGCGGGCCCGCCGUUUCGACGGCCGCCGGGGAGGCCUUGCGCCCCCGGGCCCGCGCCCGCCGAAGACCCAACAUGAACGCUGUUCUGAAAGUAUGCAGUCUGAGUUGAUUAUCGUAAUCAGUUAAAACUUUCAACAACGGAUCUCUUGGUUCCGGCAUCGAUGAAGAACGCAGCGAAAUGCGAUAAGUAAUGUGAAUUGCAGAAUUCAGUGAAUCAUCGAGUCUUUGAACGCACAUUGCGCCCCCUGGUAUUCCGGGGGGCAUGCCUGUCCGAGCGUCAUUGCUGCCCUCAAGCACGGCUUGUGUGUUGGGCCCCCGUCCCCCUCUCCCGGGGGACGGGCCCGAAAGGCAGCGGCGGCACCGCGUCCGGUCCUCGAGCGUAUGGGGCUUUGUCACCUGCUCUGUAGGCCGGGCCGGCGCCAGCCGACACCCAACUUUAUUUUUCUAAGGUUGACCUCGGAUCAGGUAGGGAUACCCGCCGAACUUAAGCAUAUCAAUAAGCGGAGGA
rnacentral:rRNA from 1 species